rnacentral:rRNA from 1 species
AGUGAACGCUGGCGGUAGGCCUAACACAUGCAAGUCGAACGGCAGCACAGUAAGAGCUUGCUCUUACGGGUGGCGAGUGGCGGACGGGUGAGGAAUACAUCGGAAUCUACUUUUUCUUGGGGGAUAACGUAGGGAAACUUACGCUAAUACCGCAUACGACCUACGGGUGAAAGCAGGGGAUCUUCGGACCUUGCGCGAUUGAUUGAGCCGAUGUCGGAUUAGCUAGUUGGCGGGGUAAAGGCCCACCAAGGCGACGAUCCGUAGCUGGUCUGAGAGGAUGAUCAGCAAAACUGGAACUGAGACACGGUCCAGACUACGACGGGAGGCAGCAGUGGGGAAUAUUGGACAAUGGGCGCAAGCAUGAUCCAGCAAUACCGAGUGGGUGAAGAAGGCCUUCGGGUUGUAAAGCCCUUUUGUUGGGAAAGAAAAGCAGCAGGUUAAUACCCCGCUGUUCUGACGGUACCCAAAGAAUAAGCACCGGCUAACUUCGUG